GGGUUGUGAGGUUAAGCGACCAAGCGUACACGGUGGAUGCCCUGGCAGUCAGAGGCGAUGAAGGACGUGCUAAUCUGCGAAAAGCGCCGGUAAGGUGAUAUGAACCGUUAUAACCGGCGAUGUCCGAAUGGGGAAACCCAGUGUGAUUCGUCACACUAUCAUUAACUGAAUCCAUAGGUUAAUGAGGCGAACCGGGGGAACUGAAACAUCUAAGUACCCCGAGGAAAAGAAAUCAACCGAGAUUCCCCCAGUAGCGGCGAGCGAACGGGGAGGAGCCCAGAGCCUGAAUCAGCAUGUGUGUUAGUGGAAGCGUCUGGAAAGGCGCGCGAUACAGGGUGACAGCCCCGUACACAAAAGCGCAUAUGCUGUGAGCUCGAUGAGUAGGGCGGGACACGUGGUAUCCUGUCUGAAUAUGGGGGGACCAUCCUCCAAGGCUAAAUACUCCUGACUGACCGAUAGUGAACCAGUACCGUGAGGGAAAGGCGAAAAGAACCCCGGCGAGGGGAGUGAAACAGAACCUGAAACCGUGUACGUACAAGCAGUGGGAGCCUCUCUUUAUGGGGGGUGACUGCGUACCUUUUGUAUAAUGGGUCAGCGACUUAUAUUCUGUAGCAAGGUUAACCGCAUAGGGGAGCCGAAGGGAAACCGAGUCUUAACCGGGCGUUAAGUUGCAGGGUAUAGACCCGAAACCCGGUGAUCUAGCCAUGGGCAGGUUGAAGGUUGGGUAACACUAACUGGAGGACCGAACCGACUAAUGUUGAAAAAUUAGCGGAUGACCUGUGGCUGGGGGUGAAAGGCCAAUCAAACCGGGAGAUAGCUGGUUCUCCCCGAAAGCUAUUUAGGUAGCGCCUCGUGAAUUCAUCUCCGGGGGUAGAGCACUGUUUCGGCUAGGGGGCCAUCCCGGCUUACCAACCCGAUGCAAACUGCGAAUACCGGAGAAUGUUAUCACGGGAGACACACGGCGGGUGCUAACGUCCGUCGUGAAGAGGGAAACAACCCAGACCGCCAGCUAAGGUCCCAAAGUCAUGGUUAAGUGGGAAACGAUGUGGGAAGGCCCAGACAGCCAGGAUGUUGGCUUAGAAGCAGCCAUCAUUUAAAGAAAGCGUAAUAGCUCACUGGUCGAGUCGGCCUGCGCGGAAGAUGUAACGGGGCUAAACCAUGCACCGAAGCUGCGGCAGCGACACUUUAGUGUUGUUGGGUAGGGGAGCGUUCUGUAAGCCGUUGAAGGUGUCCUGUGAGGGGUGCUGGAGGUAUCAGAAGUGCGAAUGCUGACAUAAGUAACGAUAAAGCGGGUGAAAAGCCCGCUCGCCGGAAGACCAAGGGUUCCUGUCCAACGUUAAUCGGGGCAGGGUGAGUCGACCCCUAAGGCGAGGCCGAAAGGCGUAGUCGAUGGGAAACGGGUUAAUAUUCCCGUACUUGGUGUUACUGCGAAGGGGGGACGGAGAAGGCUAUGUUGGCCGGGCGACGGUAGUCCCGGUUUAAGCGUGUAGGCUGGUUUUCCAGGCAAAUCCGGAAAAUCAAGGCUGAGGCGUGAUGACGAGGCACCACGGUGCUGAAGCAACAAAUGCCCUGCUUCCAGGAAAAGCCUCUAAGCAUCAGGUAACAUCAAAUCGUACCCCAAACCGACACAGGUGGUCAGGUAGAGAAUACCAAGGCGCUUGAGAGAACUCGGGUGAAGGAACUAGGCAAAAUGGUGCCGUAACUUCGGGAGAAGGCACGCUGACACGUAGGUGAAGUGAUUUACUCAUGGAGCUGAAGUCAGUCGAAGAUACCAGCUGGCUGCAACUGUUUAUUAAAAACACAGCACUGUGCAAACACGAAAGUGGACGUAUACGGUGUGACGCCUGCCCGGUGCCGGAAGGUUAAUUGAUGGGGUCAGCGCAAGCGAAGCUCCUGAUCGAAGCCCCGGUAAACGGCGGCCGUAACUAUAACGGUCCUAAGGUAGCGAAAUUCCUUGUCGGGUAAGUUCCGACCUGCACGAAUGGCGUAAUGAUGGCCAGGCUGUCUCCACCCGAGACUCAGUGAAAUUGAACUCGCUGUGAAGAUGCAGUGUACCCGCGGCAAGACGGAAAGACCCCGUGAACCUUUACUAUAGCUUGACACUGAACAUUGAGCCUUGAUGUGUAGGAUAGGUGGGAGGCUUUGAAGCGUGGACGCCAGUCUGCGUGGAGCCGACCUUGAAAUACCACCCUUUAAUGUUUGAUGUUCUAACGUGGACCCGUAAUCCGGGUUGCGGACAGUGUCUGGUGGGUAGUUUGACUGGGGCGGUCUCCUCCUAAAGAGUAACGGAGGAGCACGAAGGUUGGCUAAUCCUGGUCGGACAUCAGGAGGUUAGUGCAAUGGCAUAAGCCAGCUUGACUGCGAGCGUGACGGCGCGAGCAGGUGCGAAAGCAGGUCAUAGUGAUCCGGUGGUUCUGAAUGGAAGGGCCAUCGCUCAACGGAUAAAAGGUACUCCGGGGAUAACAGGCUGAUACCGCCCAAGAGUUCAUAUCGACGGCGGUGUUUGGCACCUCGAUGUCGGCUCAUCACAUCCUGGGGCUGAAGUAGGUCCCAAGGGUAUGGCUGUUCGCCAUUUAAAGUGGUACGCGAGCUGGGUUUAGAACGUCGUGAGACAGUUCGGUCCCUAUCUGCCGUGGGCGCUGGAAGACUGAGGGGGGCUGCUCCUAGUACGAGAGGACCGGAGUGGACGCAUCACUGGUGUUCGGGUUGUCAUGCCAAUGGCACUGCCCGGUAGCUAAAUGCGGAAAAGAUAAGUGCUGAAAGCAUCUAAGCACGAAACUUGCCCCGAGAUGAGUCUUCCCUGAGACUUUGAGUCUCCUGAAGGAACGUUAAAGACGAUGACGUUGAUAGGCCGGGUGUGUAAGCGCAGCGAUGCGUUGAGCUAACCGGUACUAAUGAACCGUGAGGCUUAACCUUACAACGCCGAAGCUGUU
rnacentral:rRNA from 1 species